rnacentral:rRNA from 1 species
GGACUACUGGGGUAUCUAAUCCUGUUCGCUCCCCACGCUUUCGCUCCUCAGUGUCAGAACAGGCCCAGAGAACCGCCUUCGCCACCGGUGUUCCUCCCGAUAUCUGCGCAUUUCACCGCUACACCGGGAAUUCCGUUCUCCCCUACCUGCCUCAAGUCUGCCCGUAUCCACCGCAGACCCGCAGUUAAGCUGCGAGCUUUCACGACAGACGCAACAAACCACCUACGAGCUCUUUACGCCCAAUAAAUCCGGACAACGCUUGCGCCCUACGUAUUACCGCGGCUGCUGGCAC